UAUUUUGAAACUUUCAGCCUGGUGGAGAUGGCAACAUAAGUACGUACAACCUAAGAAGGUUGGCAUGGCUCCAUUCUAUCAACUACUCGUUGGCAGCAUGGUCUUCUUCUAUGCCAUCAACUAUGGAAGAAUUAGUUAGUAUCCUUAUUUUGGUAUUAUUA
rfam:Bombyx mori DNA, contig: Bm_scaf33_contig20219, strain: p50T/Dazao, build 2, whole genome shotgun sequence.